UAUACCUUAGUGUAUGAAGCACAAAAGUUUUUGAUACUUUUAGAAAUAGUUUAAUUCUAUUGGGUGUAA
rnacentral:tRNA from 1 species